UAGGGAAUCUUCCGCAAUGGACGAAAGUCUGACGGAGCAACGCCGCGUGAGUGAAGAAGGAUUUCGGUUCGUAAAACUCUGUUGUUAGGGAAGAAAAAAUGUAUAGUAACUAUAUACAAAAGAGACGGUACCUAACCAGAAAGCCACGGCUAACUACGCGCCAGCAGCCGCGGUAAUACGUAGGUGGCAAGCGUUGUUCGGAAUUAUUGGGCGUAAAGCGCGCGCAGGUGGUUUAGAAAGUCUGAUGUGAAAGCCCACGGCUCAACCGUAGGGGGUCAUUGGAAACUAAUAAACUUGAGUGCAGGAGAGAAAAGUGGAAUUCCUAGUGUAGCGGUGAAAUGCGUAGAGAUUAGGAGGAACACCGGUGGCGAAAGCGGCUUUUUGGCCUGCAACUGACACUGAGGCGCGAAAGCGUGGGGAGCAAACAGG
rnacentral:rRNA from 1 species